UGUAGUUUGAAUCCAUUGCUCCGUAUCCGCUUCUCUGGAGCAGCAGAAAACAACCUUUCUCCCUCCUCUAUAUGACAUCCUUUUAUAUAUUUGAACGUGGCUAUCAUAUCAUGUCAAGGUUUCCACAGGCCCCAGCUUAUUCAGUGACAUCUACUCAUGAGUAAAUGAACUUACUUAAAGCAUAACCUCUCAGGUAUAAGCUAUGGAAAUCUACAGAACUACCUAUUACAAGCUGAAAAUGAAUAUUUACAUAUGUACUUGGGAGGAUUGUUUCCCUGUGUGCUUUUAAAAAUAUUGAUUAAUUGAUUACACCUGCCCUUUUCUUGAAAGGUAAUACUUUUAUAAGCAGUUGCUUGCUUCCUGACCAUAUUAUGAAGGCUGUGAUACUGUAUUUCUUAACAUGGGUGUAAGCUCUGUUGAACUGAACGGGACUUUAUUCUGAGCAGACAUGCAUAGGCUUGCUCGGAUAAAGCAGCUGUGUUUAGGCAGCACUAUGCAGUGAGAAAAAAAGAUGCUGGUAUUGUGUAUGUGAUGUGGGUCCUUUAAGACUGCCUCUGCUCCUUAGCUGGUAGGGUGGGAUAUGCUGCAAAUAGGUGGCACUUAUAGGUUUUAAAGUUAAAUAAAAUUACUGUACGACUUCCAUUUCAGAGAAGAUUUCAGUGGGCAAUUAUAGCAGAGUUAAUGCACUAUACUAUGCUUUGUUUUUUACACUCCCACUGCAGAACAUAAAAAAAGGUGGGCGUAUUGCUUAACGAGGAAAUAAAGCAUAAUUUUGGAGGAGUAGUAGUAGUAAAAUUGUAACACCCAUGGCAACGAGAUGCAUAAAAAUGAAUGAGUGUUUCCUUAGUAUUAUCGCCACCUCCAGCUCAAUUUCCUUUUUCUCUGGCUAUAGUCGAGGCUUACAAACUGAAGCCAUUUAACAAACGAGUAAGUCUCCGGGAAGCCAACGAGUUUAUAAUCGCUGCCCACUUAUCAUUUGAUGUCAUACUGACAUACGUGUCCUAAUGAUAACUGAGAUGUUAAUUCAGGAGGCUGACCUCUAGCCUUCGACGAGUUGUUUCUUCCGAUUGUCUGUAAAGCCAGAGUCCUGGUUAACCCUUCAGGUGGCCUCUAGGCGGAGCUGUUUCGUCAAAUAUAUAUCUGGGUUUUUAAAGAAUUAAAACGAUUUUUUAAUUUUUUAAUUUUUUUUUUACGGAGACGUGGUUCAGUUAUACGAUGCUCUAUCAUUUCAUUCCCGUCAGUCGCAUGAACUGGAUAUAAGAAUUUAAACUAUUUUAAGGGGGAGGAAAAGGAAAGGGAAUGUUCUUUACGGAUGAAAAGUGGUACUGUACUGUACUGGGAUUGCACCAUCUUUUUAUUACUGUAUAAGGUAUUUGAAACAGUGCUACGGAUAUUGUUUUAAAAACCAGAGGAGUGUGAGUGGAUGGAUCAAACCACUGACGUGUGUGUGUGGGGGGGUGGAUGCUGGGUUUUAUUUCAAGUGCCUAGGAUCGGGUGUGAAAGCGCAAUUUUAUACCUGUCGACUCAUAAUUAAGACUCACUGGGGUAAAAUAAAAAUAAAAAUACUCUCAGUAUUAAGUAUGUAUGAGAUUGCAACCUAGUCAUUUUUAUCUGAACUCCCUGUUUUUAUACUUAGAGCUUUAUCUUGUACUUCCUUGGAGCUCAAUUGGGAGAGGGUCUGUCGUUUUCACUUACAAAAUUACUGAUACCCCCCCCCCUAGAUCGUGCAGGAGAACAAAACGCGAUUCCAAAUUAAACGCGAGUGAGAAAGAGGCGGGGAAGAGGAACAUUUUUUUGGGAGAGUGACAUGGGACAAUAGAAAUAGCUUUCAAAAUUGUUUAUCAGAAUCAACUGCAAGGCAAAUUCAGCUCCCUAAUAAAAAAAACUAAGAGGAAAAAUACUGAAUUGCUCUUUUCAAAAGCAGCCUCUGAGAAGUCAGCGUAGACUCGGAGAUUCCAGGUGCAAUAACUGUUUUUCUGGUUCAGACCUAAUUUGGCACACUGUCGCCAGCAGCGACCAGCCACAAGAUAUGGCAAGGCAGACAUUAAAUUUAAACAAAGCAAGUUUGUAGUUCGGUUCCAUUUAUUAACGGUAAUGUAUACUCUUCCUUUGCCCCAUUGUUACUCCAGAGCCUCCACCCCCGAAACUGAGCUGACUUCUGCGCAUAGGAAUGCACUGGCGGGCUCAAAUUCUAUGACCGAGCCGAUUACAUGGAAGAAAGACCCAGUCCAAGGGAGCCUGACUUCUGAGUAAAAUGCACAGGACUGUGAGGCUGCAAUUCUAUCAUAGCUGCCAAGUUAUCCCUUUUUUUAAGGGAUUUCCCCUUAUGCUGAAUAGGCUUCCUCGCGAGAAAAGGGAAAACUUGGCAUCUAUGAAUUCUAUGGAAGUCCCACUGAACACACACCUCACUUGGAAUGAAGUAUUUCAGCUGACAACCACCCAUUUUAAAGUAAAUGUAUUUUUUAGGUCGGGAUCAGGGUGCCCAAAUAGAAAGAAAGCAAGAUUCGGAAUUUGGCUAAAUCGGUAAUCUGAACCCUACUUACAAGUAAGCCCUGUUGAGUUCAGUGAGACUGGCUCCCAGGUAAGUUUGCACGUAGAUAGCAUUGCUUAGGAAGAUGUGAUGGAGACACAAUGUUUUAUCGAUGGCUGAUAAUGCGCCACGGUUGUUCCUGGAGCUGUUCAUCACUAAGGGCAACGCUAAGUUUUACCUCCCGAAAAGUCUGACGAAUGUAGCAUUUUAGAGAAGACUACAAGAGCAGGAAGCUGUGGUUGUGCAUGGCUAGGAAACACAGCCCACCACACCAUGUGAGCAUCAUGAGCGUCCAAGCUCUUUGAAAAAAAAAAACUAUUCUGAUCUCAAAUAAAGAGAUUGAACUCGUCCACUGAGCAACAUGGAUGUCAGAAGUGCUUAGUUUUGUCUGGCUCACGCCUGAAAGUUGCAAUCCCAUGAUAUGUGUGUUCAGGUAAAUCCAACUGAACUCUUACUAUUGGGAAAAUAUUCAUCGAAUUAGAUUUUCAUAGUACAACCGGUGUUCAGUUGGCGGGUCGCGACUGCUGCGUCCCAGCUUGACCUACUACUAAACUGGGUUUGAACAACACCAUUACCACAAAAGAAAUACACGGUUAACAAUUUUUUAAAAAUAAUAAUAAUAAUAAUAAUAAAGAAGGCGGGCUCCAAAUACUUGCUUGGGCCAAAUGUGGACAUCAGUUCUGAAAAGAUUAAGAACUCUAACCAAAAAGUCAUUUAAAGUUAAGGUAUUUUAAAUAUGCAGUUAUUUAUUUUUAAAAAAGCAUGAUUAAGUUAGAUUACAACUAUGCAAACGCUUAAGCCUAUUAUUACUCCUGCUUAUAGGAGUCAUUAGACUAGCUCAUAAACUAAACUCCUCUUCGAACGGGAAUAAUGCAUUCCCGUCAGCUGCUAUAAAUGCUCAAAACAGAACUUUUAGCCGAUCGAUGCAAGAAAACAUUUCAUUCAACACGUGUCACGGUUUUUGCAAAGACCAACCCUUUAAAGCAGAGGAAAUUAUACUUCAACCAAAGUUCACGGCGGUGCUGCGUCUCUUGGGGUUUUGUUUUGUUUUUUAAAACUACCCUCUUAAAUUGGUUUCCGCAUAUGCUUCGGAGUUAGUGAUUCGAGCAAUUAAGCCUUUCUUUAAUUAGCACGAGUGGCGCUGUUUGGAUUUUUUCUUGAGCAAAAUGGUUAAGGGCAAAACCUUAUCUUUAAAAAAGAAACGUCAUUUAACAGCAGGUAGAGAAUAAGCCAUAUCGCUUCCUGGAAUGUCCCACCCCCCUCCAUUUGCCAUAAAUCGGCAAAACGUUUUCUAGAGACUCGUUGGACGAAGCCAAUGAGCUCUCCAUAUGUACGGGCGCAUUUUAAACUUUUCUAAAUUGGAUUUUUUUUUAAGAAAAGAAAGGAUGGCUGAGUCACAAAUAGCUUCCAGGAACCUUAACGGAAGAACUUAUUUCCAGUCUGUUUAGGUCUCAAGAGGACUUAUUUUCCAAGGGUUUUUUGUUUUGUUUUUCGCCAACGGAGCAGAACCGAAGCACAUUCCAAGGUUAUUUCAGGUUUGUUAAUGUGCUCAAUAAUACCGGUGAGUAAAGAUCUUCGUUUGGAGAGCCUAAUGCCCACAAGGGAGGACAUAUUAUAAGAAACGAACAAGUUUAAUUCCUGCAGAUUCGAGGUCGGGGAACACAUUACGAUUCCUCUUAGCUGACACAGAAACCUGGGUGAUGCACAUUAGUAAUGAACAGCUAAAUUUCACGUUUCUCCUUAUGGGGAGUAAAUUGAGGGGGGGGGUAUUCUUGGAUUCAGUCAAGAUCAAAGAUUGUUGGCGUCAUUAACGACAGCCUCUAGCGCAGGAGGUUUUGUAAAACGCGGGUCAUUUCAGUCACUUGAAAGGCUUUUCAUUUGAAGCUUUCCUUUUAAACAAUGCAAGAGCACGAUCCGGCCAAAAAGUUAAGCAUUAAAAUAGAGAGAGAGAGAGAUUUCCAGAGGAGAAUUAAGCCUGGAGCUUAAAUCGCCCUCGCGGUAAUUCACUGAACUCACAGGUGUCUAACUUCGGCAGGCGAGACCUCCAGGUUUUCAGCUUCUGAAAUGCCCCUUUAUAUUCUCAGAUGUGGUAGCUGUUGCUUUUCAAUCGCUUACAAUCUAUCUUGCUCUUUUCCCACCACUUCUCUUUAUUUCUUUGGUCAUGUUUACGGGAGGAAGAGCGGGCGGGGAAGGCAGACCCCGCUGGAAGAAAGGGACUAAGGAGCGGGAAGAGAAAUCUAAACCCAAAGAAAACGGAUCGUAGGCAGGAGGAGAAGGUGAAGGACUCCCGCGGUGUAGAGUCCCGUUGGAGGCGGCGGCGGAAGUUAAUUCUUCGCAAGGUGACGGCCGAGGAAAGAUGCCCAAAGACGGCUGUGGAAGGGAAUUGGCCGCGAAGGCUGGCUGCGGAGGACCGCCUUGGCGGACGGAGAAAGCCGGUUCUUUCAUCCCCAGCCCAGGGAGAGGAGGAACUUCUGGCUGGAGAGGGGUCGGAGGAAAUUUCUCGGCCUCAAAUUCCAAGCAAGAGGAUUCCUGGUCUUUUCUCCUCGAAGCGUACAAGCAAGACGAGCUGAUCUUCGGAGGGAGGAACUCAUGGUGGGGAUGGUGACCUCUCCAACCUGGAUGGUGUGAAGGAGGUGGAAGGAACCGCAGUCCAGACUGGUGGCUGUUCAUGCCUCUUCCCCCAUAGAACCACUGUCCACUGCGCCCCCUCCUCGCCUCAAGCCAACCCAAAUUGCAGUGUGAGGCUUUGGCAAGGAGAGACUAGAGUGUAUGUAUGGGGUUCUCCUGAAACCCACCUAUUAUCCUAUAGGGUGUUCGGGUUUACAGGAAAGUUGCGAAGAUAACACCCUCCAGGCAGGAGCUUGGCAAAAAAAAAUAA